AUUGAACGCUGGCGGCAUGCUUUACACAUGCAAGUCGAACGGUAACAGGCCUUCGGGUGCUGACGAGUGGCGAACGGGGGAGUAAUGCAUCGGAACGUACCCAGAGGUGGGGGAUAACGCAGCGAAAGCUGUGCUAAUACCGCAUGUGAUCUGAGGAUGAAAGCGGGGGACCGAGCAGCAAUGUUUGGCCUCGCGCCUUUGGAGCGGCCGAUGUCGGAUUAGCUAGUUGGUGGGGUAAAGGCCUACCAAGGCGACGAUCCGUAGCUGGUCUGAGAGGACGACCAGCCACACUGGGACUGAGACACGGCCCAGGGUCCUACGGGAGGCAGCAGUGGGGAAUUUUGGACAAUGGGCGCAAGCCUGAUCCAGCAAUGCCGCGUGCGGGAAGAAGGCCUUCGGGUUGUAAACCGCUUUUGGCAGGAACGAAACGGUGUCCGCUAAUACCGGGCGCUAAUGACGGUACCUGCAGAAUAAGCACCGGCUAACUACGUG
rnacentral:rRNA from 1 species